rnacentral:rRNA from 1 species
GCCCAGCUGUAACAAAACAAUUAGCAUAACAAAUUGUUCGCCAAAUAACUACGAGUAAAAACUUAAAAUUUAAAAGACUUGACGGUACUUCACAUCAACCUAGAGGAGCCUGUCUAAUAACCGAUAAUCCACGAUUAACCCAACCCCACCUAGCCCAACAGUCUAUAUACCGCCGUCGCCAGCUUACCUUGUGAAAGAAACAAAGUAAACAUAAUAACACCCAUAUUUAACACGACAGGUCGAGGUGUAACUAAUGGUGUGGAAUAAGAUGGGCUACAUUCUCUAACUCAGAGAACACGGAUAAAUCAUGAAAAUAAAAACUGAAGGAGGAUUUAGCAGUAAGAUAAGAACACAAUACUUAACUGAAGCUAGAGCAAUGAAGUGCGCACACACCGCCCGUCAUCCCUGUAAUCACAUAACACCCUUAUAAAUAAUUACUCUAACACCUUAAAACAGGGCAAGUCGUAACAUGGUAAGUGUACUGGAAAGUGUACUUAGAAA